rnacentral:tRNA from 1 species
GGGGUUGUGGCUCAGUGGUAGAGCACUUGCGUAGCAUGUAUGAGGCCUUGGGUUUAAUUCACAGCACCACA